rnacentral:lncRNA from 1 species
ACAAAUACACAAGGAAAGCUCCAUGGAAGAUAAAGGCAGAGAUUUACAAGCCAAGGAAUGUCAAAGACGGCCAGCACACCACCAGAAGCUAGCAGAGAGGUAUGGAACAGAUUCUUCUUCACAACCUCAGAGGGAAAACCCUGCUGAUACCUGGAUUUCAAACUCCUGGCCUCCAGAACGACAAAGUCUUGCUUGCUCUGUCGCUCAGGAUGGAGUGUAGUGGUAUGAUCUUAGCUCACUACAACCUCUGCCUCCCAGGUUCAAGUGAUUCUCCUGCCUUACGCUCCCAAGUAACUGGGACUACAGGCACACACCACCACACCCAGCUAAUUUUUGUAUUUUUUGUAGAGACGGGGUUUUACCACGUUAGCCGGGCUGGUCUUGAACUCCUGACCUCAGGUGAUCCACCCGCCUCGAUCGCCCAUUAUUAACAAUCAAAUGGCUGUUCUUCAUGGUACUGGUACAAAAACAGAUAUAUACACCAAUGGAACAGAACAGAGGCCUCAGAAACAACACCACACAUCUACAACCAUCUGAUCUUUGACAAACCUGACAAAAACAAGCAAUGAAGAAAGGAUUCCCUAUUUAAUAAAUGGUGUUGGGAAAACUGGCUAGCCAUAUGCAGAAAACUGAAACUGGACCCCUUCCUUACACCUUAUACAAAAAUUAACUCAAGAUGGACUAAAGAUUUAAACAUAAGACCUAAAACAAUAAAAACCCUAGAAGAAAACCUAGGCAUUACCAUUCAGGACAUAGACAUGGGCAAAGACUUAAUGACUAAAACACCAAAAGCAAUGGCAACAAAAGCCAAAACUGACAAAUGAGAUCUAAUUAAACUAAAGAGCUCCUGCAUAGCAAAAGAAACUAUCAUCAGAGUGAACAGGCAACCUACAGAAUGGAAGAAAAUUUUUGCAAUCUAUCCAUCUAACAAAGGGCUAAUAUCCAGAAUCUACAAGGAACUUAAACAAAUUUACAAGAAAAAACAACCCCAUCAAAAAGUGGGCAAAGGAUAUGAACAGACACUUUUCAAAAGAAGACAUUUAUGCAGCCAACAAACAUGAAAAAAAGCUCAUCAUCACGUCAUUAGAGAAAUGCAAAUCAAAACCACAAUGAGAUACCAUCUCACGCCAGUUAGAAUGGCGAUCAUUAAAAUGUCAGGAAACAACAGAUGCUGGAGAGGAUGUGGAGAAAUAGGAAUGCUUUUACACUGCUGGUGGGACUGUAAACUAGUUCAACCAUUGUGGAAGAGAGUGUGGCAGUUCCUCAAGGAUCUAGAACUAGAAAUACCAUUUGACCCAGAAAUCCCAUUACUGGGUAUAUACCAUAAGGAUUAUAAACGAUUCUACUAUAAAGACACACGCACAAGUAUGUUUAUUGCAGCACUAUUCACAAUAGCAAAUAAUUGGAACCAACCGAAAUGCCCAUCAAUGAUAGACUAGAUAAAGAAAAUGUGGUACAUAUACACCAUGGAAUACUAUGUAGCCACAAAAAAGAGUGAGUUUAUGUCCUUUGCAGGGACAUUGAUGAAGCUGGAAGCCAUCAUUCUCAGCAAACUAACACAAGAACAGAAAACCAAACACUGCAUGUUCUCACUCGUAAGUGGGAAUUGAAUAAUGAGAACAUAUGGGCACAGGGAAGGGAACAUCAUACACUGGGGCCUGUCGGGGAGUGGGGGGCACUCUAUCAUUAGGAGAAUUACCUAAUGGAGAUGACGGGUUGAGGGGUGCAGCAAACCACCAUGGCACAUGUAUACCUAUGUAACAAACCUGCACGUUCUGCAUACGUAUCCCAGAACUUAAAGUAUAAUAAAAUAAAUAAAUCAAUAAAUAAAUACAUAAAUAAUAAAAAUCGCUGUUCUUAACAACUGGCUUGCAAAAUUUGACUCUAGCAAGCAAGAAGAUGUGGGCUCUGGCAUGCUACUGCAUGAAGGCAAGAGGAAAACAUUAGGAGCCAAUUUUAGCAUAAUAUUUUGAAGUUGCUGCUUCCAUUGGAGUCACUGUGGCUGCUGGCAACAUGCUGGAGAGGUGG